AGCAGCCGCGGUAAUUCCAGCUCCAAUAGCGUAUAUUAAAGUUGUUGCAGUUAAAAAGCUCGUAGUUGAAUUUCGAGAUCAAUUUGUCGGUCGUGCCUCGGUACGUACUGGCAUUAUUGAUUUCUCCCUUCUGAAGAACCGCGAUGUCAUUAAUUUGGUGUCGUGGGGAAUCAGGACUGUUACUUUGAAAAAUUAGAGUGUUUAAAGCAGGCUCACGCUUGAAUACAUUAGCAUGGAAUAAUGAAAUAGGACGUUUGAUUCUAUUUUGUUGGUUUCUAGGAUCGACGUAAUGAUUAAUAGGGAUAGUUGGGGGCAUUAGUAUUCAAUUGUCAGAGGUGAAAUUCUUGGAUUUAUUGAAGACUAACUACUGCGAAAGCAUUUGCCAAGGAUGUUUUCAUUAAUCAAGAACGAAAGUUAGGGGAUCGAAGACGAUCAGAUACCGUCGUAGUCUUAACCAUAAACUAUGCCGACUAGGGAUCGGAUGAUGUUAAUUUUU
rnacentral:rRNA from 1 species